ACUGGUGACUUGUAUUUAAUUAAUCAGGAAUUUCUAAUAUUUACAAAGUAUAUCGUUAUUAUUUGUUAAACUUUAAUUAACCAUAACAGGAAAAAAAUAUGAGGGAUUCUACCCCAAGUCGGUGUUCGAAAUACUGCCAUUUUCACUGCACUUCCCGGUGGUUCCCAGAUUUCUUGAAUUUUUUCUGUAAAAAUGAAAAAUACAUGUCACCUAUUCCGAAAUAC
rnacentral:lncRNA from 1 species